rnacentral:rRNA from 1 species
ACUCCUACGGGAGGCAGCAGUGGGGAAUUUUGGACAAUGGGCGAAAGCCUGAUCCAGCAAUGCCGCGUGAGUGAAGAAGGCCUUCGGGUUGUAAAGCUCUUUUGUCAGGGAAGAAACGGUGAGAGCUAAUAUCUCUUGCUAAUGACGGUACCUGAAGAAUAAGCACCGGCUAACUACGUGCCAGCAGCCGCGGUAAUACGUAGGGUGCAAGCGUUAAUCGGAAUUACUGGGCGUAAAGCGUGCGCAGGCGGUUUUGUAAGUCUGAUGUGAAAUCCCCGGGCUCAACCUGGGAAUUGCAUUGGAGACUGCAAGGCUAGAAUCUGGCAGAGGGGGGUAGAAUUCCACGUGUAGCAGUGAAAUGCGUAGAUAUGUGGAGGAACACCGAUGGCGAAGGCAGCCCCCUGGGUCAAGAUUGACGCUCAUGCACGAAAGCGUGGGGAGCAAACAGGAUUAGAAACCCCUGUAGUCCCAUGAU